rnacentral:rRNA from 1 species
AAUAGAUACCCCGGUAGUCCUAGCCGUAAACGAUGAACACUAGGCGUAGUCGGUAUCGACCCCGGCUGUGCCGUAGCUAACGCAUUAAGUGUUCCGCCUGGGGAGUACGGCCGCAAGGCUAAAACUCAAAGGAAUUGACGGGGGCCCGCACAAGCAGCGGAGCGUGUGGUUUAAUUCGUCGCAACGCGAAGAACCUUACCAGGGCUUGACAUGUGGCGGAAAACGGCGGAAACGUCGUCCUCCCGCAAGGGACCGUCAUGCAGGUGUUGCAUGGCUAUCGUCAGCUCGUGUCGUGAGAUGUUGGGUUAAGUCCCGCAACGAGCGCAACCCCCGUGGCAUGUUGUAUCUCUCAUGCCAGACUGCCGAGAGAAACUCGGAGGAAGGUGGGGAUGACGCCAAGUCAGCAUGGCCCUUACGUCCUGGGCUACACACACGCUACAAUGGCCGGUACAACGGGUUGCCAAACCGCGAGGUGGAGCUAAUCCCUUAAAGCCGGUCUCAGUUCGGAUUGCAGGCUGCAACUCGCCUGCA